GGCCUAGGCGAGGGCUCAGGACAGAGCGGUGCCAGGCGCUGAGGUCGGUGUCAGCCCAGCUGCGGAGCAGUUUUCCAGGGCUGAGCGCGGAGCUGCCUGUGCUUCUGCAGGGGAACAAUGAGCUUGUGCAUCUGUGGGAACUCUCGUGCCCGCUGGGCGCUCAGCUCGGAGUCCCAGAAUAUCAGACACAAUUAUAUUCAAAUAAAGAGGAUGGGUUAGCUGAAAGAAUACCCCUCACCCCCAACUCAUCCGUCCAGAACAGUUUUCCUCCAUAUGAGUUAUAUCUUACAGACCAUAGACUUGCCCUGGUAUGCCUGGAACUUGGAAGAAUGCAAACCAUGCUAAUUGAUAUAGAUCAGCUCUUUGUUUACACUUUACUACAAAGAUUCAAGUAAUCAAGCAGAUAUGCUCAUCACAAGACUACUGAAGACAAUAGAAGUCAGCUGAAGAGAACUCAUCAAACUGCUAAGCAUCAAAAGUAUGCUGCAUGUGCCACUGUCUCCCACCCACUUCUUCUUACAGCCAUACGGGUGGUAUCCAUGUUUUAUGCGAAAGUCUACUAUACUCAGAUUCCAUCCGAUUUCACCUGCUCUGGAAGAUUUUUAAAAAAUUAAUUAUCUGCUCUCGUCUGUCUCUUUCCAUUUCUAAAUACUGAAAUCUUUCCAUCAAUAUGUAAAAAUGCUCAUCCAAAGUGUGAAAAUCUAUGAGACAUGAUAUCACCAAUGGAAACGUUCACAUUCACCUCAUAUGAUAGGUCAAAGUCAAACUACAGGCAUAUUAAAAGCAUAACAUACAAAAAUUAAGUUCAGAUUAUGUGUAUGGAUUGUAUAUGCAUCAGUGAAUUUUGGUUUAGACUUAGGUCCCAUCACCAGGGUGUUUCUCAUUCUGUACAUGAAUUUUUCCAAAAUUCAAGAAAACCUGAAAUCCAAAACACUACUAACUGCAAGCACUUUGGAUAAAGGGAUACUCAACCUGUGCUAAGUUUAGACAUUAUGCUACCAUUUGAAAUUUAUCUUUCUUCAACAAAGUUGCUCACAUUACCAGACUUAAAAAUGCAAGAUUGCAGCAGAUAAUAAUAGGAUAAUAAACCAACCACUGUUAUUUCUUAUCAUUUUGUUUUGAAACCCUGUAUCAUUUUUAUUGUUUUGUUUUUGUUUAUGUUCUUUAGUUUUUAUUGUUUUUAAAAUAAAAAAAUUAUCUUUCUGCACUACUCUCAAACUAUGUCAGAUAUCCUGAAUUAUUCUAUGGUACUUUUAAGUACAUAAUAUUAUUUGACAAUUAUUAUUCAUGUUUUCUAAUUUAUUAAUAUAUAGACUGUGUG